rnacentral:rRNA from 1 species
GACAGAGGGUGCAAACGUUGUUCGGAAUUACUGGGCGUAAAGCGCGUGUAGGCGGCCAUCUAAGUCGGGCGUGAAAUCCCACGGCUCAACCGUGGAAGUGCACUCGAAACUGGAUGGCUAGAGUCCUGGAGAGGAAGGUGGAAUGCUUGGUGUAGAGGUGAAAUUCGUAGAUAUUCGCAAGAACACCAGUGGCGAAGGCGGCUCACUGGCCCGGUACUGACGCUGAGGUGCGAAAGCGUGGGGAGCAAACAGG